rnacentral:rRNA from 1 species
AUGGUGAGCACCACCGUAGCAGCUACAAAAUUGGCAGGGGCUGCCUCCGGCCGCCGCCUUGAUGCAUCCUCCGCCCAACCCUGUUCAAUGUUUGAAAACAAAGAGGAAAGAUGCAACCACAUCGCUGCUGCAUCCUUGCCACGGGCUGCGACUGCAAAAAGGAGAAGUGCGACGCCAACCACCAUAACAGCACGGUUGCUAGGCUGGGGAGAGGGCGACUCCGGCCACCUUGGCUGCAAGGUUCCAGUGUGCCUCCGUGGCACUUGCAUCCCCUGUGUUUUUGCACCAGCACCAUUGCUGCGACAAUGGCCGCGGCGGGCGGCGAUUUGUGCAGCAGCGACGACAAUUUGCUGUGAUGUCCUGUUGUGA